rnacentral:ncRNA from 1 species
UUACAUGUAAUGAUCAGGAGAGUAGAUAGUGAUAGUUUUUCCAGCGAUUCUGGGCAGGUGGGAGCCAGAUAAGAACACUAUUGAAGAUCACCUGUGAACAACUCUUUUGAAAUUAGUAAAAAGGGACGGUAGUCUUGCCGUUAUUCAAAGAAUAAGAAAGAGGGUAUUCUAAAAUACUUUCAAUCCUAAUAAGGUGGUACCGCGGGAAUCUCUCGUCCUUAAA